rnacentral:rRNA from 1 species
AUUGAACGCUGGCGGCAUGCUUUACACAUGCAAGUCGGACGAGUGGCGGACGGGUGAGUAACGCAUCGGAACGUACCUAAUAAGGGGGGAUAACUGUCCGAAAGGACAGCUAAUACCGCAUACUAUCCGAGCUGCCGAUGUCUGAUUAGCUUGUUGGCGGGGUAAAGGCCCACCAAGGCGACGAUCCGUAGCGGGUCUGAGAGGAUGACCCGCCACACUGGGACUGAGAAACGGCCCAGACUCCGACGGGAGGCAGCAGGGGGGAAUUUUGGACAAUGGGCGCAAGCCUGAGCCAGCCAUGCCGCGGGGCUGAAGAAGGCCUUCGGGUUGUAAAGUACUUUUGUCAGGGAGGCGGUACCUGAAGAAGAAGCACCGGCUAACUACGUGCCAGCAGCCGCGGUAAUUC